CCUGUUAGGUGGCUGUGCUUUGGCUUGUCCAUUUCAAAUUAGGAGUCAACAAAGAGUCCUUGGAGGAAUCCGAGGCCGCUUGGUUGUUAAAGAAGCCGGUAUCGCCCAGAGGUUGGUAACAAAGCAAGGAAAACGGCUCGCUCUUAAUAGUGAAAGGACCGCAGGCCU
rnacentral:SRP_RNA from 1 species